rnacentral:rRNA from 1 species
AGCGAACGCUGGCGGCAGGCCUAACACAUGCAAGUCGAACGGAUCCUUCGGGAUUAGUGGCGGACGGGUGAGUAACACGUGGGAACGUGCCCUUUGGUUCGGAACAACUCAGGGAAACUUGAGCUAAUACCGGAUGUGCCCUUCGGGGGAAAGAUUUAUCGCCAUUGGAGCGGCCCGCGUCUGAUUAGCUAGUUGGUGAGGUAAAGGCUCACCAAGGCGACGAUCAGUAGCUGGUCUGAGAGGAUGAUCAGCCACAUUGGGACUGAGACACGGCCCAAACUCCUACGGGUGGCAGCAGUCGAGAAUCUUCCAAAAUGGGCGAAAGCCUGAUGGAGCGACGCCGCGUGCAGGAUGAAGUCCUUCGGGAUGUAAACUGCUUUUAUUUUUGAGGAACGCAAGUGACUGUAAAAAAUGAAUAAGGGGUUGCUAAACUCGUGCCAGCCGCCGCAGUAAGAC